rnacentral:lncRNA from 1 species
CAUCCAAGUUAUAGUUUCGGAAGAGAUACCGUGUACAGAUUAAUAUUUUUGGCAUAAUCCUGCUGGUUUAUGAUAUUUACGAGCAAUAUUUAUUUUUUAUAAUUACCAGAAUAAUUUACUACUUGUAACAAUGCCUUGAUUUCGAUUAGCAUGCAGGAAUUAUAAUUUAACCAUAUCUUAAGAUUAUACAUGCAUGAAAAGCGAAUCUAAGAAGCUGACAAAACAUUCUCAGUGGAAGAACAGCGAGGGCCGGAAGUAGGCAGUAUCGUUUGGUUUCAAGGGCACUCAAAAAC